GAUGAAGAACGCAGCGAAAUGCGAUAAGUAAUGCGAAUUGCAGAAUUUCCGUGAGUCAUCGAAUCUUUGAACGCACAUUGCGCCCCUUGGUAUUCCAUGGGGCAUGCCUGUUCGAGCGUCAUUUGUACCUUCAAGCUCUGCUUGGUGUUGGGUGUUUGUCUCGCCUCUGCGUGUAGACUCGCCUUAAAACAAUUGGCAGCCGGCGUAUUGAUUUCGGAGCGCAGUACAUCUCGCGCUUUGCACUCAUAACGACGACGUCCAAAAGUACAUUUUUACACUCUUGACCUCGGAUCAGGUAGGGAUACCCGCUGAACUUAAGCAUAUCAAUAAGCGGAGGA
rnacentral:misc_RNA from 1 species